rnacentral:rRNA from 1 species
AUGGUGAGAUCUUGGUGGGAUGGGGUCCUCACCAACAAUGUGCAGCCGAGGAAAGCCUUGGCCUCCUUACUUCAUCUUGUAGGCUGGGAGAUUUGGAAGGAACAAAAUGCACGCGUGUUCAGGACCAAGGCGGCGCCUGUGGCAGUGAUCGUGGGAACAAUUAAAGAGGAGGCGUCUAUCUGGGCUCUGGCGGGCGCUAGGCAUUUGUGUAAUUUGAUGUCGUGA